GAUGAACGCUGGCGGCGCACUUAAGACAUGCAAGUCGAACGGAAAUAUAUAAAUGAAAGUUUCGAUUGGAUUUUAUAUAUUUUAGUGGCGGACUGGUGAGUAAUACGCAGGCAACCUGCCUGAAAGAGGGGGAUAACACUUAGAAAUAGGUGCUAAUACCGCAUAAGACCACGCUACCGCAUGGUAGAGAGGUCAAAGGAGCAAUCCGCUUUCAGAUGGGCCUACGGCUGAUUAGUUAGUUGGUAAGGUAACGGCUUACCAAGACGAUGAUCAGUAGCCGAGCUGAGAGGCUGGCCGGCCACAUUGGGACUGAGAUACGGCCCAGACUCCUACGGGAGGCAGCAGUCGGGAAUAUUGGACAAUGGAGGAAACUCUGAUCCAGUGACG
rnacentral:rRNA from 1 species